GAUUGGAAAAGAAGAAGAAAAGACUUGCUAACCCGCCAUGGCAAUUGUCAAGAGAAACACAAGUGUUGUAUGCUUGGCCUUGAUUUUGGUCAUAGCCACAACCUUGUUGUCCUUUUCAACUACACAAGGGGCGUGCUUAGUGGCUCCGGAAUGCUCAGGUCCCUACCGAAAUGUAAUUUGCGGUGAGUUAUGCGCUCGUUACGGUUACAGUAAAAAUGGAUACUGCAAAGAUUCAAGAAACUGCUGCUGUAGUGGCAAAAAAUUAGCAAAGUCAGUCCUCGUGGAUCCUACUGCAAAUCCCUAGGAGAGAUACUCUAGAAGCUGGUGUGCCACAAUAUGUAAUGGCGAGAUGAUUAAAUUUGCUGUGAAAUAAGUUUUUUAUCAGUGCAUCAGGAAUUCGGCAUGAAUGUGAACGGAAUGGUCAACAAUUCAAUAUGUUUGGCGGAUGGAUGUAACAUACAGUUAGUUCGAUUUGGUAAACAUUUUAAUCAA